CCCGUGCAUGGUAGAAAAGCCGGUCUCUUUGCGACCUUCACCUUCCCUUGUGUAGUUGCGUGUGUAUAAAUAUACACACACACACUCAGACCUCAGGCCUCAAUGGUUACAGAAACCCCCAUACUUGCCAUAAUCAAGUAGUGGAAGAGUUAAUCUGCGCGCGCGCGACUCAUGGGAGGCGCAAGGUGGUGCCUUGGUGCUGAACUCUGGACGCCCAAGGUCAAGGUACACUCCUCGGCCUCCUGUUCGUCGCAGCAGCGGCUACUCCUACAAGACACGCCGGCCGCCGGUGCUCCUCCGGCUGCGGCGGCGGCCGGCGAAGGCCAAGUCGUCAAAGACCAAGGGGAAGGGGAAGAGCACAGGAGCCAGCAGAGGGAGGUGUUCACCAUCUGGAUGAAGUCGCUGGUGCUCAACGGGAGCGGCUGCACGGUCUUCGACUCCCGCGGCCGCAUCGUCUACCGCGUCGACAACUACGGCUCCCACCGCUCCGUGGACGUGUGCCUCAUGGACAUCACGGGGAGCGUGGUGCUCCAGGUCCUCAAGAAGUUCCGGAGGUGGGAGGGGUACAGGUGCGGCGGGUGGGAGGAGCCCGACCAGAGUGCGCCGUGGUUCACGGUGGUAAGCAACAAGUGGGGCCGCGGGCCGCGCUGCGAGUUCAGGAGCGACGGCCACGCGGUGCGCUACAAGAUGGACGGCGGCAGGCGGCGGCAGCAGGCGGCGCGCGCCUCGUGGAUCGUGGACGACGCCACCGGGCUGGCGGUGGCGGAGGUGAAGAGGAAGCUGACGGCGACGGGGGUGUCCCUGGGCGAGGACGUGCUGACGCUGGUGGUGGAGCCCAACGUGGACCACUCGCUCAUCAUGGGGCUCCUUGUGGUGCAUGGCCUCAUAAACCACUCCAUGUGAGCAUCGCACCGUACGUGCAGCAGGGACAGGGUGUAAUUAUCUUGUUAGAUGCAUGCUCAGAUGCAUCCUGCAGAUCAGUGUAAUUUCUUUCUUGCACUGCUGUUUCUUCUUUCUUUCUUUCUUUCUUUUUUCGAUAAGGUUUCUUCUUUCUUUGGAAAACCUUGUGGCGUGAUUAUACAGUAUUUGUUUAGGCAUGAGGUCUGCCAAUCAAUUAAGCAAGAAUAAGUUUAUGUUCAAUCAUGUCCUUGGAAAUGUCCAUCGAAAGCACGCUGCAUGCGCUUAAGGAGGCAACCGAUCGAUCGAUGAGAAAGGAGAGGAGAGGAGCUGCUUCAUGCACCCAGCAGUCAUGGCAGCAGAACCGUGUUUUCUUCUUGCCUAGUUAGCUGAAUGGAGACUUGAUGUGCUGUCUAUUCAUGCACGACAAAACCAAUCAGGGUUCCUGCUCAACUUCUGGAGGUUCAGUAAGCGCUUCCUUUUUUUUCCUUUUUCCUUUUUUGCAAGAAAGCGUUUCGUUUUUUCAACAAGACAAAAGACUUUCAUUUUCAUCAUUUAAGAAGAAGAAGAAGAAGAAGAAGAGGAGGAGCAGGAUUGUGCAGUUAGUUCGUCAGGCACAAAAAUGUUACAAACACGCCCACAAGUGUCGCUGUCAUCACUCAUCGUCCUCGAUCCAGCUACUUCGACUUCUUCACCACGUCCAUAGGAAUGAGUGUAUGUACCAUCAUUUGUGAGAGAGACGACUAGACUAUUUUUCAGUCCACAAUAAUAUGAGACGUGCAGAUCCAUCGCAAGACUGCUGGAAUGAUCUCAUCCACUUGAUCAUCUAAAUGUCGGCAAGUCCGGACGAAGAAUUCUCGUUUUCCAAAAAAGAAAUAUUGGCAAAGACACGAAAACCAGAGACCAGAGGAAUAAGACACAGAAAAGAUCAUGCACACAGCCUUUUGGCUCUUGGAAACCAGUGCCCCGGGUGUAUGAAUAUUUUUUUUCCAAAAAAUUAUAUGCACGCAGAUUUCCAUGAAAUGCCCAAACUUGUUUAUGCACAGGACUUAUUUACUCACGUGAGACCUGGUCUCAUAGAAUUCUUUUCCGUUCUGGAUAUUUAUCAGCUCAACAAACAUGUAGAUUACUAAAUGUGUGAUUUCUUGGACAAAUGGAAAAAAAAUGCAAAUUUAUUUCUGGUGCCCAACAUCCACAGUGAAGUAUCAAAACAUAAUGAAUCCUGCAUAAACUGAAGAC
rnacentral:rRNA from 1 species